rnacentral:rRNA from 1 species
CAGCCGCCGCGGUAAAACGGAGGGUGCAAGCGUUAUCCGGAUUUAUUGGGUUUAAAGGGUCCGUAGGCGGAUCUGUAAGUCAGUGGUGAAAUCUCACAGCUUAACUGUGAAACUGCCAUUGAUACUGCAGGUCUUGAGUAAAUUUGAAGUGGCUGGAAUAAGUAGUGUAGCGGUGAAAUGCAUAGAUAUUACUUAGAACACCAAUUGCGAAGGCAGGUCACUAAGAUUUAACUGACGCUGAUGGACGAAAGCGUGGGGAGCGAACAGGAUUAGAGACCCCGGUAGUCCCUGUCUCUUAUAA